rnacentral:rRNA from 1 species
AAUCUUCCACAAUGGACGGAAGUCUGAUGGAGUAACGCCGCGUGAGCGAAGAAGGUCUUCGGAUCGUAAAGCUCUGUUGUAAGGGAAGAAUAAGUACAGUAGUAACUGGUUGUACCUUUACGGUACCUUCUGUGAAAGUCACGGCUAACUACCUGCCACCAGCCGCGGUAAUACGUAGGUGGCAAGCGUUGUCCGAAAUUUUUGGGCGUAAAGCGCGCGAAGGCGGCCUUUUAAGGCUGAUGGGAAAGCCCCCGGCUUAACCGGGGAGGGUCAUUGGAAACUGGGAGGCUUGAGUGCAGAAGAGGAAAGUGGAAUUCCAAGUGUAGCGGUGAAAUGCGUAGAGAUUUGGAGGAACACCAGUGGCGAAGGCGACUUUCUGGUCUGUCACUGACGCUGAGGCGCGAAAGCGUGGGGAGCAAAC